rnacentral:rRNA from 1 species
UACGAGGGGAGCAAGCGUUGUUCGGAUUUACUGGGCGUAAAGGGCGCGUAGGCGGUCGUGACAAGUCACUUGUGAAAUCUCCGGGCUUAACUCGGAACGGUCAAGUGAUACUGUCGGACUAGAGUACAGAAGGGGCAACUGGAAUUCUCGGUGUAGCGGUGAAAUGCGUAGAUAUCGAGAGGAACACCUGCGGCGAAGGCGGGUUGCUGGGCCGACACUGACGCUGAGGCGCGAAAGCCAGGGGAGCGAACGGG